rnacentral:rRNA from 1 species
GAUGAACGCUGGCGGCGUGCCUAAUACAUGCAAGUCGAGCGAACAGACGAGGAGCUUGCUCCUCUGACGUUAGCGGCGGACGGGUGAGUAACACGUGGAUAACCCACCUAUAAGACUGGGAUAACUUCGGGAAACCGGAGCUAAUACCGGAUAAUAUAUUGAACCGCAUGGUUCAAUAGUGAAAGACGGUUUUGCUGUCACUUAUAGAUGGAUCCGCGCCGCAUUAGCUAGUUGGUAAGGUAACGGCUUACCAAGGCAACGAUGCGUAGCCGACCGGAGAGGGGGAUCGGCCACACUGGAACUGAGACACGGUCCAGACUCCUACGGGAGGCAGCAGUAGGGAAUCUUCCGCAAUGGGCGAAAGCUUGACGGAGCAACGCCGCGUGAGUGAUGAAGGUCUUCGGAUCGUAAAACUCUGUUAUUAGGGAAGAACAAAUGUGUAAGUAACUAUGCACGUCUUGACGGUACCUAAUCAGAAAGCCACGGCUAACUACGUG